rnacentral:rRNA from 1 species
CAGUAGCCGCGGGAAUACGGAGGAUCCAAGCGUUAUCCGGAAUCAUUGGGUUUAAAGGGUCCGUAGGCGGUAUUGUAAGUCAGUGGUGAAAGCCCAUCGCUCAACGGUGGAACGGCCAUUGAUACUGCAGGACUUGAAUUAUUGGGAAGUAACUAGAAUAUGUAGUGUAGCGGUGAAAUGCUUAGAGAUUACAUGGAAUACCAAUUGCGAAGGCAGGUUACUACCAAUUGAUUGACGCUGAUGGACGAAAGCGUGGGUAGCGAACAGGAUUAGAUACCCGCGUAGUCCCUGUCUCUUAUAU